GCCUCUGUAGCUCAGUUGGUUAGAGCACUGCACCGGAAUGAUCGCAGGGCCGCAGGUUCGAUUCCUGCCAGGGACC